rnacentral:snRNA from 1 species
AUGCUUGCUUCAGCAGCACGUAUACUAAAAUUGGAUGGAUACAGAGAAGAUUAGCAUGGUCCCUACACGGGAUGACAUGCAAAUUCUUGAAGCAUAAAAAAGAAAA